GUCUCUGAUGAUGAUUGAAAAAAAAUACUUUCGUUCUUCCGAGAUGAUACAUGCGGAAACAUUUUGGAGACCUGAACUGAAGAGGC
rfam:Citrus sinensis cultivar Ridge Pineapple sweet orange scaffold00058_contig_47, whole genome shotgun sequence.